AGUUGGCGUCAACACGCCGCUAAAUAGUUUGAUAUCAAACAAUUCACUAAAUGUCAUAAUGCGGCGAAACCGGGAAGAUAUUUGCUUCGGGAAAAUAAACUGUGAAGUGUUGAAAGGCCAGCUGCACUACGCUGCAAAAAUGGAACAGAAACAAUCGACCGUAUUUUAAAUUUUAAACUAUAUUGGUUAGCUAGCUAGUUAGCCUGGACUGUUGCUAAUGCCGAAGGCUAACGUUGGAUUGGAGAAAACAACUUUUGUCAACCAACAAACUAAACGACAUUCACGACAGCAACAUGGACGCAGUGACGAUGGGACAUGGAAACUUUUAAAGGAAGAAGAAAUUGAACCUCCGCGUCAAAGCGUGGGUUUAAAGACCCGGAUGCUGCCUCUGAAUCGAGAGAACUCUGCUGCCUAGCAACCGUUGCCACGUCGAAGCCACAGAGGCUAACAAGAGGCUAGCUAAGGUGAUGGAGGAAAUGCAAGAGGACAAUGUAAGCGUAGAGCCAAAACACAAUAGAAAAUAUUCUGAAAGUUUCAACGCGGCUCCUGCUGCCUGAGCUCCGACGCGUGACGACAAACCCUAACGACACAAACGAACACGUCCCAGUCCGGAAAGGAAAGCAAGUAAGCGACACAAAAUCUUUCCUUCUCCUUCUCCUUGAAGUGCUGCUGGUUUGUUUCCUUUUCUGCGUUUUCUGCCGCGUGACAAAUCUCGCCAUUUCCCACGCAAGGAGAAAGAUAGAGAGCGACGCGAUGUGUAACCAGCUGGGCGUCUGCAGCAAUUUAGGGGAAGAAAUAGUUGAAGGAGAGACUGGAAGCUCCUCUGUCUGUGUCUCUUUGUCUCCUCGUUUCAGCAGCAGCAGCAGCAGCAGCAGCUGGGAAGGAAUUACAUUAAACUUGUACUUAGCACCAACACCGUCACAGGACAGUGAUCUAAGAGCCUCUUUUAAAUGCGUGUGUGCGGACUCUCUUUUUUCCGGCUUUUCUUUCUUCUUCUUCUUUUUUUUUUCCUGCUUGCAUGUCUCUACACGGCUGCAUUUUUGUGUGCAUGUACGUUCCCUCUCGUCUCCAGGGCCGAGCGCUUUUUUCUCACUGGCGCGUUCUUUCCGGCAGCGCGUGGCACGAAGACGAAACGACGCCCGACGCGAGGCGAGUGCGGUUGACCUGCGCGUUUCCAACACUGUGCUCACACCUGCCCGUCAAUCCUUCACAUUUUUUUUUUUUUUUUUUUUUUUUUACUUUAACCUUUGACACCUUUAACAAUAACAUACCACACAGAAACGGCUUCAACGUUUUGAGUGAAAUAUUUCAAAAUAAGAGCAGAAGUGUGCUAUUUAACCACAGUUUGUAUUUUUCUACCAUACGUAAACACCUUUAUCUUUUCUUUUUUGUUAUAUAAACUGAUUUUGUGAGUGCAGCUUCCAAAUACAGGCUUUAAAAAAUACAGAUUUGCAUCCGUGCAGCUACAAAAGAUGUGUUUUAGAAGAGAUGUCAAAGCUGUUAAAUAACAUCUGAACGCGAGCGCAUGAAGAGGAGCAGUGCUGACUCUCGGAGGAGAUGCUAAUAGGUUGGAUUUUUUGGCAGAAAGCAGUAGGAGAGUGUGUGUGUGUGACACAGUUCCCAUCUCGUCCACACUCUUCUGUGCAUUCGUCUUGAAUGCAACUUUCCUGCGACCUCUUCAUAUAACUUUAAGAGCCGCUUCAUUGUUUGAGAUGUGCACUUUGCGGAUGUUAUAUAACAGCCUCGUUUCUCGGGUGAUAACGCGUCCUUUUUUUUUAUUUAUUUUUUUUCCUUCCCAACGCCUGCUACCUGCUCCGAAUCCAACUCUUCCCCCUUUUAAACGGGCCAGAUUUCCAGUGUGUAUUCUCCUUUUAUUGCUUUCAUUUGCAUAUAAAUUAAAUCCAUAUUGUGCCUGCGAGGCACACUGUGCUAACUAUGCAAACGAUCCCGGGCUUUUCUUUGUUUUACAGAUAAACCCUCGGCUUCCUCAAUGACAAGGUGGGAGGAAGAGAGAGGGGAGGGAGCGAGGGGGGGAGGGAGGAAUCCUCUCGCUGUUUCAUAAUUGUAUGAAUUUUAAAUACACUGUCAUAAGACGCUCUUCCGCAUUCACAGCAGGGAACGGGACUAUCAUUAUAAUAUUAGAGCUACAGGGUUGGCUGACCGUGAAGAGCUGCAGCCUCUUCACCUCGGUUCACACAUGCAGGCCAGAUGGCUACAGACACUGAAUCACAUUAGUGUUUUAAAAAAAAAAAAACAUAUCCACCACCUCUUAUUUCUUUUAUACAGACAAAAGCUCCGUUUAAAUGAUUCCGAUUGUAGUUUUUUCCACAUCGCAUUUUGCAAUAUCUCGAGUAAAUUAUGUCUGGUGUCAAACUCCAGUCCGCUCCUAUGAAUAUUCAUUCAUAAAAUCCAGUCAGAUCUUGUGUUGAAUUAGUGCUAAUAUUACAUUGGUUUGAAAACCCCCUUCAAGGACCUCUGGAGAUUUGCAUGAGCUGCAGGGAAGAUGACGGUUUAUUUGCAGCAUGCAUGAAACAUCUCUGAUAAUUUUAAAAAAAAAAAAACGUAUUGUUUUCUCAUGUGCACUGAAAUGUGAGUCCAUAACUACAUGCUAAAUAAUAAUAAUAAUAAUAAUAAAAGUAUAUAUAUUAUAUUUAAUUCAGAUGUUAAUUAAAAACUGUAACUAUCCUGCUCCGAAACUGGCACCGAGUCCCUGGUCGUCUUCAUUGAAAUCAAUUAUUAGCUCGCAAUGCUUAUUAAAUCCGCACUCUAUAGGCAGAGCUGAACACAAACACUUGAAAUAAUUAAAAAGACGAAGAAGAAAAAAGAAAAAAAUGACCUGAAACGCGGAGGCCGUGAACGCCUCCUCCGCAGACCUCUGCAGGCUCGUUAGCUCUUAAUUAAAUAACCCGAGCGGUUGUAUAAGAGCGACGUUAACAAACAGAAACAAUAUACAUCAAGACACUUCGGUGUCGCUAGUUUGCAGCACACUCGUGCGUGUCCAGAGCGCGCUUGCAGCCGCCGCGCACGUGCUCCGUAACGCAUUCGCUUUUUUCGUCAAAUCUGCACUAAACCCGGGGUCAACACUCUGUUAUUGCUUCUUUAGACAUUUUAGAGUAAAAUACAGAUUUUACUAUCAUAAAAUAAAAAAUCGGCAAUAAUGAUGAUAGUUUAAAAAAAUAAUA